UUUUAUGGCCCUACUGCCCUAAACAUUCCCAAUCUAGUCUGAUCUCAGAAGUUAAGCAGGGUCUGGUCUGGUAAGCACUUGGAGAGGAGACUGCCCGGGAACAGGCAGUAGGCUUAAAAU
rnacentral:rRNA from 1 species